rnacentral:rRNA from 1 species
AGACGGAGGGUGUAAGCAUUAAUCGGAUUUAUUGGGCGUAAAGAGCGCGUAGGUGGUUAUAUAAGUCAUCCAAGAAAGCCCCUAGCUCAACUAGGGGAGAUGGGAUGAAACUGUAUGACUAGAGCAUAAGCGGGGGAAAUGGAAUUCCACAUGUAGCGGUGAAAUGUGUAGAUAUGUGGACGAACACCGGUGGCGAAGGCGGUUUUCCAGCAUUAUGCUGACACUGAGGUGCGAAAGCAAGGGGAGCAAACAGGAUUAGAUACCCCGGUAGUCC